rnacentral:rRNA from 1 species
UAACCUGCCGUAUACCGGGGGAUAACACUUANAAAUAGGUGCUAAUACCGCAUGAGCGCACAGCUCCGCAUGGGNCGGNGUGNAAAACUCCGGUGGUAUACGAUGGAUCCGCGUCUGAUUAGCCAGUUGGCGGGGUAACGGCCCACCNAAGCGACGAUCAGUANCCGGNCUGAGAGGGUGAACGGCCNCAUUGGGACUGANACNCGGCCCANACUCCUACGGGAGGCNNCNNUGGGGAAUAUUGCACNAUGGGGGAAACCCUGAUGCAGCGACNCCNCGNGAGUGAAGAAGUAUCUCGGUNUGUAAAGCUCUAUCAGCAGGAAAGAUAAUGACGGUACCUGACUAAGAAGCCCCGGCUAACUACGUGCCAGCAGCCGCGGUAAUACGUANGGGGNAAGCGUUAUCCGGAUUUACUGGGUGUNAAGGGAGCGUAGACGGCAGCNCAAGUCUGGAGUGAAAUGCCGGGGCCCAACCCCGGAACUGCUUUGNAAACUGUGCGGCUCGAGUGCGGNAGAGGUAGGCGGAAUUCCUAGUGUANCGGUGAAAUGCNUAGAUAUUANGAGGAACACCAGUGGCGAAGGCGGCUUACUGGACCGUAACUGACGUUGAGGCUCGAAAGCGUGGGGAGCAAACAGGAUUAGAUACCCUGGUANU